GGUAUCGUGGUGUAGUUGGUUAUCACGUCAGUCUAACACACUGAAGGUCUCUGGUUCGAAUCCGGCGACGCCA
rfam:Glycine soja cultivar W05 scaffold810_51, whole genome shotgun sequence.